AUUGAACGCUGGCGGCAGGCCUAACACAUGCAAGUCGAGCGAGCGGCGGACGGGAGAGUAAUGUCUGGGAAACUGCCUGAUGGAGGGGGAUAACUACUGGAAACGGUAGCUAAUACCGCAUACCAUCAGAUGUGCCCAGAUGGGAUUAGCUAGUAGGUGGGGUAACGGCUCACCUAGGCGACGAUCCCUAGCUGGUCUGAGAGGAUGACCAGCAACACUGGAACGGAGACACGGUCCAGACGCCUACGGGAGGAAGAAGUGGGGAAUAUUGCACAAGGGGCGCAAUCCUGCUGCAGCCAUGCCGCGUGUGUGAAGAAGGCCUUCGGGUUGUAAAGCACUUUCAGCGGGGAGGCGUUACCCGCAGAAGAAGCACCGGCUAACUCCGUGCCAGCCGCCGCGGUAAUUC
rnacentral:rRNA from 1 species